rnacentral:lncRNA from 1 species
UGAUGAAGAUUUCAUGGCUGAUACAUGGUAGAAUUCAGAUUUGAACAUAGUUGUGUCUGCUUCCAAAGCAUGCUGUAUGCCCAAGCAAUAAUUCUUGCACCAAGUUCCCUCCAAGGAGAGACCCUGGGUAAUGACAAUCUCUGGUGUCAACUAAGAUUCUUAAGAACUGUAUCCUGGUUGUGAUUCCUAUGUGAACCCGAAGGUAAGCCAGUAACUCAGUCUAUCU